rnacentral:lncRNA from 1 species
UCCCGGCAGCCCGCAGGAGUGCUAAGUAAGGGUCCUUCAGGGCGGGAACCAGGUUCCAGGCAGGGACGCAGGCUACGUUCGAAUAAAAGUACCGAAGGUCAUAAGGCCCCAGUUCAGAUGGGACUUCCCCGCGUGACAGCACAGAGAUAACGGCCAGCCCUGGGCGAAGAUGAUAAUACAGGAUGGAGUGGAUCAGAAAACACACUGAGGCUACUGAUCAUUCCCAUUUGCCAACUCACUGCAGUUGGCAAGAAAACUCUGUGACUCCAUGAGAUGGGAAAUUACACCAGCAGUCAAGGUAGCAAGAUUUGGAACUUGAAGAUGAAUUUUUCUUCCUCAUCAAAGGAAUAUCUAAUACUGCCUUCAAAUGAAUAAAAUUGAGUUUAUUCU